ACGGAAAUACUCGCUCAUAUAAUAAGUCCUAUUAAAUAUGAUAUAUCUGACACGAUGAUAUAUGUAUAAAGUCAUAAAUAUACCAAUUCCCAUGGAUUUUCCUAUGAACAGCGGUAGUGGGACCAACUUCUUCCAAAGUUAUGUAAAUUAUGUGUUUUCGUAACAUAAUAAUCGGUGGCGGCGGAGGCGGAUGUUGUAUCCCUUUACCAAACCCCUGCGCGUGUUGCUGUCGCUGUUGCUUCGAGCUCAUCUGUAAGCUGCUCUGCUGUCUCUUAAUUUUAGUCUUGAUUGCGGCUGGGCUAUUCUUGUUGGCUGAAGCGCUGUGUUCGUAGUUCCUCGCAGAAAAACUUGACAAAGUUGGCGUAACGUCUACAUAAGUGAUGGUGCUCUAAAUAUCGCAGCCCAAGCCUUCAUUUGUGUUGUAUCCUGUGCUGUCGGGCUAAUAGUCGUCCUUAUAUUACUGGCCGCAGACGUUUUUUAAAGUAUGAUUUUAAACCCAAAAUAUUGGUGCUGUAAAAGAAUGGACGUCAAGUUAUCAAGUAUAUAUUUGAAAUGGUAUUGUGAAUGUAUUUGUACAUUUAAUUAUGUAUCGC